rnacentral:rRNA from 1 species
CGCGGCCUAUCAGCUUGUUGGUGGGGUAAUGGCCCACCAAGGCUUCGACGGGUAGCUGGUCUGAGAGGACGAUCAGCCACACUGGGACUGAGACACGGCCCAGACUCCUACGGGAGGCAGCAGUGGGGAAUCUUGCGCAAUGGGCGAAAGCCUGACGCAGCAACGCCGCGUGGGGGAUGAAGGCUCUCGGGUUGUAAACCCCUUUCAGCAGGGACGAUUAUGACGGUACCUGCAGAAGAAGCCCCGGCCAACUACGUGCCAGCAGCCGCGGUAACACGUAGGGGGCGAGCGUUGUCCGGAUUUAUUGGGCGUAAAGAGCUCGUAGGCGGUUCCGUAAGUCAGGUGUGAAACCUCCAGGCUCAACCUGGAGACGCCACCUGAUACUGCGGUGAUUGGAGUCCGGUAGGGGAGCGUGGAAUUCCUGGUGUAGCGAUGAAAUGCGCAGAUAUCAGGAGGAACACCAGCGGCGAAGGCGGCGCUCUGGGCCGGUACUGACGCUGAGGAGCGAAAGCGUGGGUAGCAAACAGGAUUAGAUACCCUGGUAGUCCACGCCGUAAACGUUGGGCACUAGGUGUGGGUCUCAACCAACGGGAUCUGUGCCGUAGCUAACGCAUUAAGUGCCCCGCCUGGGGAGUACGG